CUUUAGAGGAAAAUGUCUAAUGGCAAGGAAACUGCAGAAAGGCCACAGGGUUCUGUUGUGAGCCUUCAUGGCUGCUGGAAGAUUCCACAGAUGUGGCGACUGUCAAAAGUUAGACAUCUUGCUUCUCUCCGUUUUUCCAUUGUAGAGUCCAGUGCUGUGGUCGUUAUGGAUGCUGGCAUGGUGUGUGAACAGUAGCUUUGCAGUCCUUCACAAAGAGCCGAUGAUCUUUCACAACAUUAAAAAAAAAUCACUCCUAUAACAGGUAGAAAUGGCAUCCUCGGCUGACACCUGAUAAUUACACACGUGCUAGAAUCUGCCAUGUUGUCCCUGUAUUUUCAACAGGAAAAUUCGAUCCACACUUUUUCAAAUGGUAGCUCACCAGCCACAAAAAUUCAGGUAUCACAUAUCCAUCAAGGAGUACAUAAGUCAAAAAGAAAACGUUAGUGUGCUCGCACAUUCAUUGAAACAUUCACGGAUGCGUCCCUCUUAGCUUAAAUUCUAACUCAGAAAAUGCUGGUCACCUUUGAAGUACUGAGUUAGCAAAGAGUUGUUGGCCACUUCCCAACUGUGACCACGGCUUCAACAGGGCUGACUUCCACGGAGGAUGUGUCUUUGGAGCUCCUUACGGUUUAUGGUCUCGAGUGCCAAGGAGACGGAGCAUGGCUCAGGACCCCUUCACCCAUCCCUUAGAUCUCAGAAUGUCGUCUAAGGGUAAUCUCAGAGGAGAUCUGGGAGGAGGGAAACACUUCAGUCUCUGCUUCUCUUACUGAAGCCACAGGAAAGAAGAGUCUUGGGGACUCUGGCAAUGAAAAGCACCUUUCUGAAUGAGGGACUUAGGGGAAAGUGGAGUUCAAACAUAAACAACUCCAUUGGUUUUCACUCCUUCCUGCCAAAGUCACGCAUCGUACGUCCACACAUACUAUCUGCCCGAAUCCUUCAACAUCAGACAAUUGCAGGCUCACACCUUGUCUCGGCUGCACAGGUUUUUAUUUUCAUCCUGUUAUUGGUGUCUGGCAUUGAGGAAAGAUCUUAGAUUUUGAGAUGGAGAGGAGAAGGAAUAGUUCAUAAAAUAUAUCUUUUUCCUCAGGAUGAAAAUCUACCUCCUAGUUGGCUGAAUGAAGUGGGGUGGGGCUUGUAUUCAGCUGACAUGACAUCUGGGAUCUGCACUAAUAGGUUUUUUUUUUUUUUGAUUGGCCCACUAAAACACUGGGACAGACAGACAGACAGUCAGACAGACACACACACACACACACACGCACACACACACACACACACACACACACACACACACACACACGACACGUGGGACCAUGCUACCAGACAGGCAUCAGAACUGGUAAGGUUGAAUAAGCUCAAUUCCAGGGACUCUCAGAGAUUUGAGAACGGUAGGAAUGGAGCCAUUCCCUAACUGUCUCUGUACCUGGUCUGGAUGACCAGAUCUAGGUCUAAUGAGGGAUCUAGACAGUCUUGAGCCUUCCCUUCCUGGGUAUUCCUUUCCCACAAAAGGUAUAUAAUUCCUAGGUCACCCUGAAUAAGUGUAUAUGUUUACAUCCACCAUCAAAUAAAGCAAUAUGUACAAGCAAGGAUCGUCCCAGAGAACUGCUUCAUUAAGGAUCGCAGCAGGGAAGACUUUUUCUCUUCCAGCCCCUCCAGUACACUUGGCCCUUGCUCCCAAUCAGACUGGAUUCUGCUCAUCCCGGGUUCCAUCGGAACCCUCCCUCAUGUGACCCUCCCUCCCCACACCUCUGCCUGGUGCGUAGGCACCCUGAGGGAAAGAGUAGACUUCAGACCCCUGGUUCCCAACUCCCUCUCCCAGUGGUAUGCAGGUACCCAGAGUGGAGAUUGGGAACCGCUGUGGACUUCCCAUUUCAACUUUGCCCUGCCUCCUUCUAGUGCUUCCCACCCCCAGUACCUCUUCCCAGUAGAGAGAUAGGAUGCAGUAUGACAGAGGCACACCCAGAGACACACACUCAGACACAGACACAUACACACACACACAUAGUUAGACACCCAGAGACACACCCAGACACACACACACAUACCCACAGAGACACACACACUCAGACACAUGCGCAGACUUAUACAUAGAGAGACAUACAGACACACAUACACAUAUACUCAGACACAUGCACAUACACACAGACAUAGACACACACACACACACGCAGACACACACACACAGACGCGCACACACACACAACCAUCAAAAGCAACAAAACUACAAGCAAAGUUACACAUGGUCCGGAAGCGUUUUCCUUAUAAGAGGAUGUGGAAAGCAGAGAGCAAACAAAGAUGGACUCCUUACCAUGCUCUAAAGCAGUGACUUUCAACCUGUGGAUCAUGCUUUGGGGGGAGGGGGCCAAACCACUCUUUCACAGGGGUCCCCUAAGACCAUCAGAAAACAUGGAUACUUAAGAUUUACAACAGUAGCAAAAUUAGUUAUGAAAUAGCUGGGGGUUCCUACAACUGAGGAACUGUAGUAAAGGCAGCACCAGGAAGGCUCUAGGGUGAGGUUUGCUGAAGGCUAGGAAAUAAAGAUGAACAAAGAUUAUUUUGAUCGGUUUUAUAAAAUUAUGGUCAGUGCACUCAAUAAAUGCACAUUGUGAAUCCAAAAUAGCCCUGCUCAAGUGCAGCCGAGGUCUCAGUGUGUGGGUGGGACUCCUUGUGGCCUGCACCGCACGGGGAGGGGCUGUCGUUUGAGAAGAGAGGUUUUCAUUUCUGGGGAUGUGCCAUUUACACAGCCACAGACUGCCUCCCUCUGUCACUACCCCUUCUUCAUGUAUGAGACACGCCAGCCAGGACGAUGCAAGCACAAUCAGUGAUCUGAAAUAGGUUGGCAGAAAAGCCUCGCACAUCUCUGUCUCUCUACCCUGAAUAAACAAACACAUUUUAAAUGGAAUUUUUACUGGCAUAACUAAUUUUUUUUCUUUAAAAACAUCUGGGAGAACCAAGGGGACAGAUAUUUUUUCACACCUGGCUUGUAAGAUCUGAGAGACUCAUAAUACGUCUGAGAUCAUGAGUGAAGACUCAGACAGCCCUUUUAUGAUGGGUAUUGGCUCCAGAGUUUGGAUUUAAUGGUGAGGUGAGACGGCACUAUGUACUCAGUAGGAACUGCACGUGAAAUGUUCAAUCUGAAUCUUUCCCUGGGCUUGUGACUUGUCCUCUGGAGAUGCUGGGUAUCAGCAGCGACGUUAUCACAAGGGGACACAGCCGAGAAUCUUCAGUCGGUAGUGUUCAUAGACUUAAUAUGUUAACAAUCUACACUGCUUCCAACUUAAGAUGAAUUUAUCUGGAUGUAAUCCCAGAGGAAGCAAAAGAGCAUUUGGUAUUCAUGUUCCUCUGAUCUGAAGAGAGAAUGCAUAGCCAAAAAAAACCCCAACUAUGUCUGGGCGGAGCUUAGCAGGACUCAGCUGGCUGUCAGGCUGAGAGAUCUAUCCAUGAUCUAUUCAUCUAAUCCUGUUCCACAAAGAGAGCUCUGCUGAGUGGCCUUUGCAAGCAUCCCUGGGGAACAACUGGUCACCCAGGCCAGCUGCCAGUGACUUUUCUGGCCCUGAGUGCAUGCAGCUGCUUUGCCUAGUCUGGGCUGACAGUGGGGGUGGGGUGGGGUAGGGGGAGAUGACAGCAAAAGGGAUGGUCACUCACUCCUACAGAUGAUCACUCAAAGAAAUGGCUCAGAAUAGUAAGGAAGGUUUCAGAGUCACAGAUUCAGGGGAAUAAAAAAAUCAGAAAAACCUUCCUGAAAGGUCACCACAGGCUUACACUUAAAAUUCCCCAAAUGAGCCGGGUGGUGGUGGCGCACGCCUUUAAUCCCAGCACUUGGGAGGCAGAGGCAGGCAGGUUUCUGAGUUCGAGGCCAGCCUGGUCUACAGAGUGAGUUCCAGGACAGCCAGAGCUAUACAGAGAAACCCUGUCUUGAACAACCCCCCCAAACCCCCAAAUGAAAAGGCCAGUACAUACCUUGAUGCUAUGUUUAUCAGGGAUACUUUGAAAAGUAGACUAAUAGGCCCAAACUUGGCAAAUUUGGAUCUCCAAGCAUCCAUCUACAAGCUGGGCAGGUGUGAUGGUUUACCUGUAGUCUCAGCACAUGGGAGACAGAGCUGGUAUCCUCUAGCAAGCUAACUGGAUUAGCCAAAAGCAUCCUCUAGGUUUAGUGAGACACUCCUUUUCAAUAAAUAAAGUAAGAUAAAGAGCCAAGGAAGCUACCUGACGUCAGCCUUGACCCCCAACACACCACAGAGACAAACCAAACGAAGCCCCUCCAAAUUAAAAGCAAAGUCUUUAGGUCACAAAAGCUUAGCACAGCUUGGCACAGUUGGGUAUCCACAGGCAAUUACAGAAUGAAUAACUAAAUGGAACCCGCCCCCCAUCACUGAUUUAAUUGAUGUUGACAAACCAGAUCUCAUUUUUCACAAAGUUUUAAGAUCUCCUGUCUCGAGGUAACACAAAUGUGAGAGGACUUUAGUACCUCUUGUUGUUUUCCAAUUUUCAACAUUUCUUUCUUUCAGAAAUAUGUUUUAAAAUGUAUUAUAAAUUCCAUUUACUAUAACUCAAGCAAGCUUCCCAGUAGAGUUUGUUUCUGUCUUCUAUUGAUUUCAUAAACUGGUCUGCUGGUGUUCUGAGUGUCUGCACUCAAAUAUUUCAAAUGCACCUUUGAGAGAUGCCCAGCUUUAUUCUGGGGGAUGUAUUUGCCAAAUCCCUGCCUUAGUCGACACUGACACAUCCCUUCUAGAAUCUGGCCCAGGCUGAGUCUAAAUACAGGCCAUAAAAGAAAAGAUGCUGAAUGGAAAGAACACAUCCUGGCUCUCACAGUUAAGACUCAAGGUCUCUCAUGCCUGCCUGAAUAAAUGCCCCCAAGCUGUCACAGCUUCGCAGGGACAAAUGACAAGGCAGGGAUUUCUGAUGUCUCCUGGGAUGGUGACACACGUGCUGUAAACACUUAGUACCUUAGUUUUCUCAAGGAUUCCAUAACAACUCAACAAACAUGCCAUUUCCCAGCCACCACCAGGGCCUGGGUGAUGGCAGUCCUUCAGUGGUAGCAUCUCCACGGAGAGCAGCUGAUCUAGAGCUUCCUCAUAUCAGAAGUGAGAGGUGCAAGCAGGCCAAGGCACUUCACUGGAGAAAGAAUUCCCUUCCCAGAUCCAAACUGAUGGCACUGUAGUUUUAUCCCAAAUCUUGUUUGUUUUCCUUCCCCGAGAAGCUACUUCUGUAUUUUACAUGGCUUGUGAUGCUCCUCACGCUUGGCUCAUUAUCACGUCUCCAGUUCCAUUUCAAUGUGGCUGUCCCUGUACCAUGACCACUGUCCAUUUUUUCACCAUCUAAGGUGUGAGCUAUGCACAUGCUACACGCUGUGUCAGAAGUCCUUGUUCCCUCUCUUCUGGUUAUUCCUUUUACUAUUCUCUGAGGAACAAGACACAAUGAUACCUCUCCCGUUGAGCUUCCCCUAAUGCCCCGGAUGUAACCAACGCUUUCUUCUCUGGUUUUCUCUGGCACAUUGUUCACUGAACUCCUGACCACUCUGAUGAUUGGAAUCAUUAGAUCACCUGGGCCAUAUAAGAAGAUCUACCAUAAACAAAUCUCAAAUAAACGUAGCUAUGAAGUAGCUCAAGAGAUGUAUACCCCAACCCCCAUAGUUUGUUUGUUUCUGAUACUUUGAGGAUGCCUAGGUUUCCAUUUGUACACAGGCUGAAAAUUGAAAAGCUAACAUAGCAAGCAAGCAGCACAGAACGAGUGACAUACGCAGGCAGGUUGCCUAUUGUCCAGUGGUAUAAUCCUGGACCUUGGGCUCUCCAGUGGGGAAGUUGUGAGGCUGGAGAGUCUUGCAUAGCUUAAUGUGUCCCCAUCCCCACAAUAUCUCUGAUAUAUAGAUGUGAGAGUCCAGUAGAUAUAAGGUGUUUAGACUUUCUGGAGGAUGUCCCCAGUCCCAAUGGUUAUAUCAGUUCUCCUGGUUUGAAAAUACUGGUACUAAUCUGAAGUUUUAACAACAGGUUUCACUGCAUCGUAGGCCACCUAUAGGCCAGGGCACAGGACUGAGAAUCACAGCUGAUAUCUGGUCAGUACUCUGAAAGUGUGAGUGGCUCUAGUUAGAGAGGACAGACUGAUAGACACUCAGCUAUGAUUUCACCAGGGAUUCGGACAAGCAGGCAAUCACAACGAACUAAUGCUCAUGGCCUGCCUUUUAAAAAAAGAUUUAUUCUUAUUUAUUUAUUCAUUGUAUGUAUGUAUGUAUGAUUUGUGUGUGUUCUGUCUGAUGUGGGUGCUGAGAACCAAGCUCUUAGCUCUUCCGUUUAACUACUGGGACAUCUAUCUCUCCAGCCUCUGACUUCCAAAAAAACAAAAAAAAAUUGCAUUUUGAGCUGAUUAGUGAGUCACUGGAAACUGUAAAAAUAGCAGUGAUCUUCCAUGUGUCCUUUGCCCAGUUUUCCCCAGUGGUUAUACUUUAGGUAAUAAGAUGGAUCAAAAUAUCAAACCAGAAAAUGGCAAUGGCACAGCGUGGGUGCAGCUCUGGGUUGUAUAAAACUAGAAAAUGGCAAUGGCACAAUGCACAUACAGCUCUGGGUUGUAUCACAUGCUUGGAUUCCUGCCAACACAUGGAGGCGCCAUCGCUAAACUCUAUUUCAGAACCAUAGCUUCUUCUCUGCCUUUGCCAGAGCUGAGCUGAUUCCUGACAAACAUUGAUCUGUUCUCACCUCUAAAACUCUGUUGUUUUGUAAAUUAUACACUUCAUGUAGUCUAAUUCCCUUUAAAAAUAAGAUUUCUUCCAAUAAGCUUACCUAUGUGUAUAUUACUUUAAAAAUACAAUCGCCACAUAUUCUGAGACCCAUCCAAGUUACUGAGUAGAUAUACUGAGUAGUAUUCUCUUACACGCGUUCGCGACUGGCCAGGAAAGACGCAACAAACCGGAAUCUUCUGCGGCAAAGCUUUAUUGCUUACAUCUUCAGGAGCCAGAGAGCAAGAGAGCAAGAGAGAGAAUGGCGAAACCCCGUCCCUUUUUAAGGAGAAUUAUCCUCCGCCUAGGACGUGUCACUCCCUGAUUGGCUGCAGCCCAUCGGCCGAGUUGUCGUCACGGGGAAGGCAGAGCACAUGGAGUGGAGAACUACCUUUGGCACAUGCGCAGAUUAUUUGUUUACCACUUAGAACACAGGAUGUCAGCGCCAUCUUGCAACGGCGAAUGUGAGGGCGGCUUCCCACAGUAUUCCAUGGUCAUUUAACCAUUCACCCAUGGAGGGACAUUUUGGUUGUUUCUAGUAUCAUGCCAUUAAAAAUAAACUUGCUAUCAAUGUUUUUGUAUAGGGUCCUGUGCAGAUGUAAAUAUCCAUUUCUCUGUGACUUAUGUCAAGGAAUGUGAUGACUAAGUUGUAUGACAAUUGUCAUUCUUUCAACUACUUGAACACUUAAAAAAUUCUUUUUAUUUUGUUUUUUUGCCUGCAGAUAUGUAUGUAUGUGCCCCAUGCACAUGUUUGGUGGCCUUAGAGGCCAGAAGAAGGCAUGGGAUUCCCUGGAACUGGAAUUACAGAUGCUUGUUAGCUGCCAUGUGGGUGCUGGGAAUCAAACCUGGAUCCUCUGAAAGAACAGUCAGUGCUCCUAACCACUGAAUCAUGUCUCAAGAUCUUGAAUACUUUUAUAUUUAUUUUCUAUUUAUGCUGUUAUUUGGUGCUAACCUUUCAUGAGAAUUGAGUUGUUCAUCACUACAUCAUGUUGUGCUCAGCCUGUGGGAAUUCAUUUUGCUUUUAAGUUGACAUUACUUGGCACUAAUAUGGCUAUCUCUUUCUCUCUUUUUUGGUUAAUUUUUAUCUCUUUUAAAUUAAAUAACCUAAUAGCUGUAUAUCCUUAUGGAUUGCAUGAUGACGUUUCAAUACAUGCAUCCACUAUGUAAUAUUCAAAUCAGGUAAUGGUAUUUCUAAUGUUGCUUCAAUAAUCAGAUGCAACUUUCAAAGUUUACAAGAUGAAACGUGGGAUUAAAAGGACUAAAAUUCAUUAUAUAGAUGCCUGAAAUGUAUGUGAACAACAUUUUAAAGAAAAAUAAUAAAUAUAUAAGAAUACCAAGGGGAAGGAACAUUUCUUGUAAUUAUGCUUCUAUAUAAAUAUGUUCUGUUUUCUGGAUAUGUCAAGGUCCCUUCCUCACUGAAGGCCCUCUUUCAGCAGUCUUUAGCCUUUAGGGUAGUUGUGGUGGUUUUCCUUAAGAAGUGUGUCUGCUAUUCCUGAAGGAUUUCUCUGUUUGCAGAAUGACAGAUGGAUGGUUUUCUUGGUUUAGCACUUAAAUGAUGUGUAACUUUCUUGAUAUCUCCAGGUUUCAGAGUCCAGUGUCACCGAAAUGGCUUGAACUGUGGCCCUGACAUGCCUAGUAUUUGCCUCUCACUGCUUAAAAAAGAAUCUAUGUAUCCAUCCAUCCAUCCAUCUAUCCAUUCAUCCAUCCAUCUUUGAAGACAGGGUCUCAUGUAGCCCAGGCAGACCUCAGGCUUAUUUUAUAGCUAUGGAGGAUGACUUUGAUCUUCGGUCCUUCUGCCUCUGACUCCUGAGUGCUGGGAUUACAGGCAUGUGCCACCUCUGCAGGUUUAUAUGGUGCUGGGGUGUGAACCCAGGCUUCGCACAUGCUAGGCAAACUUUGGACAUACUGUGGCCAGCUGCCUCAUCUUCCUGCUUCCAUAGCUACAGCUAAUCAUCUCUCUACUGUACCUCCCCUGCUACCAAUGGACGACUGUUCCCUCAAAUUAUGAGCUAAGAUGAACCUUCCUUUCUUAAGGUCAUUUUGUCACAUGCUUUGUCCAGCAGUGAGAACAGUAACUCAUGUGCCUCCACCUGGAUUUCUUUGGCUUCAUCCUACAUGGGGUUUGUUUAGCUAUUGGAACUUAUAGGUUUAUAUUUGUUUUGUAAAAAUUGAAAAAUUUUAAAUAUUUAUUUUAUUUUGAGCACUUUCUGAAAGUUUUUUUUCAGCCCCACACCCUUUCUCCACUCUUUUUGGAACCCUCAUGACACAUAUGUAUAUGUACACAUAUGUCCAGGUUUUAUGAUCCUAUUACAAACUUCCUGAGUUGAAAGCUAACACCUGGGAUGGUCAUGUCACCCCUCAGCAUAUCACACGAUCAGCACCGUCUUCAUUGUUAACUUUCUAAAUGUAUGCUCAUGAACAGCUUUUAGGUCUAAUCUUAGAUCAAGUAUUUACUCAGAGAUUGCUUUUUCACUAUGGGAUGUUGUUAUAUCGAGGUUUAAAAAAAGGAUAGGAUGGGGAUGUGGGUCAGCAUGAGAGAAUGCGGAGCCUGGAGGAUACCCUGGGAGCUCUUGUGGAAGAACAUAAAAGAGGUGACAUGCAGCGGCAGGUAGAAUGGCUCCUGUACAAUGGGUGGAAACUGGGUAUGGCUUGGGUGGAGGUGAAAGCCAUAAAGUAGACUUAUAUAGCACUGCCCAGGUCCCAAAGGGGUCCACAACCUUCUGCUGCCCUUAGGGAGGGUUAAAAAUUGACGGCAAAGAAAUUCAGCAAUACAGACAGCCAUAAACUUGGACAUUAAUCGUGCUAUUGGAGCAGCUGGGAUGAUGAUGAUGAUGAUGAUGAUUAUUAUUAUUAUUAUUAUACACAAGCCACCAAGUCCAGAGAUGUGGCUCAGGCCAUGGAGCCACAUGCAUAGUCCUGCUGAGAAUUUGAGGCUGUGUCCAUAUGCCAGCGGGGGAAGAUCUUGGGGGCUAAGGCUUGACCAGUAGUUUCAGAUACCAGAGAACAGAGAUGUCACCUCUGGGUCCCUGGUCAUGCCUGGGUUUGUUUUCUUCAUAACGCUCUGCUCUUGCAGGUGAGUCGGGCACCAGGGCUUAGGAAUCUGCCUCAGCAGUGCCUCUAAAGCAUUCUUGAGUUUAAGAGCCUCAGGUUCAUGGCACCUCUAUCUGACUACUGAUAUGUGUUAAGAAACACAUGUUCUUGUGUUCUGGGGUAGCCCCAUGUUGUUACUGUGUCUGGAAUGGUCCUGCGUUUUCGCAGGCUUUUCUUUUUAGAACGUGGUGAGGGAUAUUGUCGUCAUCCUGAUGAACCCAGACACAAAAGCUAUGGCUUGGUGCUCUGCAUUACAUUAUAUACUUUUUACUUUCAUCUGGGUAAAUGACCAUAUGUAGCCUAGCCAAGAAGAAAGGCAUGCUACAAAGAAAGGGGAAAAUACAAUAAUGUGCAAACAUUCCUUGGCUCUCUCCCCAAACAUUCCUGGGCUUGUUGAUGGUUUUUAUGGAUAAUGUACUAUAUUAAAUAUACUAUUCCUCUUAAAGUUCUAAAUGCCUUUUGUGUUUGAAUAUCCAUUUCUUUUUAUAGAUGUGGGAGAAUUUCAAUGAUAAUUUCACUGUCUAACUUCUGAGUGCCUCAAUACUUAUUUCAGUAAUUUCUGCUUCUUGUCACUCAUCCAGGGAGUAACAUGACUAGUAGCUUACCCCAACCCCCCUUCCCUUCAAUCUUUACAAAUAUUCCACGACUGCAUUUGCGAAUUCAGAGACCUUUACCUCUCACUUUGGGAGGGAGUAUUUUAUUUUAUUUUAUUUUAUUUUAACUAUUAUCCUUGCUUGUGUCACAGAGGUAACAUUGAGUUCAGCAUCUUGAACUGAAGUCUCCCAUUAUCCUCCAUAAGGCAAACUGAUUAUGAUACACUGAUAAGGUUUCUAAUGUUUUAAACAUUAAAAGAAAUUCAUGUGAAAGAUAGCUAUGCUUCUUUUGGAACCUAUAAACAUGUUUGGAACACAUAAACAUUCUAAAACAUGUUUUGGAAUGUAUAAAAUAAUAUUUACACAGUAAGGUCUGUCUCAGAAGUCUCCAUGUAACUGUUUCUGUGACUAUGUUGAGUCUGCUGGCCCUGCUUUCAGGAGGGUGUGCCCUCAAGAGGGGGUCCCUGGACUUACUACUUGGAAGAAGGCAUGACAGACAUACUUUGAACUGUGAUUCAAGAUGGGGGAAGGGCCUUGGAGGAAGUUGGGCUAGCCCCUGCAUACCUCAUCUCUGAGUGCCCUGGGCUGGCUAAGGCCAGGACACCUUCUCAUGACUUACUUGACAAGGUGAGUGCUGCAUUCUCUUUCUGUCUUAGGAACUAUUUGAGAGACAGGGCCAAGAAGCAGCAGCUGUCUGUAGUGACACACCUUUGCACCCUUUGGAUUUGGUGAUGUGUUAAAAAAGUGUCUUUGUCUACAGUGACAAUUCAUGGGAGAACUCAGUAUUCUGACUGGUGACAAGAACUGUGAUGUAGCCUGGGACCUGCGUGGUGUCAAGAGAGCGGGGACCUGCUAGUACAACUUGUCCCCUGGCAGGGAAGGCUGAGGAUGUGUGUGAUCCCAGGUGUGCGGGUGAGAGGCCACGCUAGUAGGGGUGAGAGAGGAGGCCAUGCUAAAGGCCUGGGCUGGGUCACACUCCAGCUGUCCAGAGCCAGUGGUGUUCCGCAUGAACAGACAAGCUUAGCACGUUUCAUUUGACCUACUCUUAAGAACAGCAUGGCUGUCUGCCUUUAUCCACCCAUUUGUCCCCAAUUUCGUUACUGUUAAAAGAGCAGCCACGGAAUGUCUCCAAGUCCACUGCUCACUCCUCAGCCACCUGCAGACAAUGAGGUGCUGAGAGAGAGUCUGGGCUGUGGUAAUUUACUGCUCUCCCCUUCUCUCCAACUGUUCUCUGGGAUGUACCCUGGAUCUGUUUGUAGAAGAAAACUCAUGCUGAAGGACAUAUUCAAGAGCCACGAGUCCUGUCAGCCCCAUGCCCAGUCAAAUAGUUCAUGAAGACAAGGGCUGUCCCUUGAGAUGCAGCUCUGGUGCCCUUCAGCAACCGCAACAUUUACAGCCAUGUCCCAUUAGAUACUCUGCCACUCCUGACUUAUUUAUAGGGUUCUGAAAUUCAUUUCUGUAUGUUUUAAGCUCCUGAAGUAGUGCAGCCCCAGACUGCUGCCCCAUGGGAACACUAGAAUCCAGGUGGUGGUAAAAACUUACCCAAGCUUGUUGACUCCAUUUUAAAAAGCAGCUUCACUCAGACACGGUUACUCCUACCACCUGCUUGUUAUUUUUCUCUUCUAACUUAUUUUCUACUCCUUCGAAUAGCGAGCAUGCUUACAUUCAUAAGGUUAUUUAAAAGCAUUUUCAAGCCCUUCUCUUGACUCUUUCAAUAAACCUAUGACUUAGGUAGGAAAGCCAGCUCUAGGGCAGGGUGGAGGAUCAAGGGUCUGUUCCAGGUCAUUGUUAGUAGUAGACAGAGGCUAGAACCUGGCCUUGGCUUCUAGCACCAUGUGCUGUCUGAGGAGUGGAUUAGUCCCUGAAAAUGGGAACUAAUCAGUGGCUUUUCUGGCCCCAUUUGGGGAUAUUUAAAUAAUUUUGCCAUGUAGGAAGGACUGGCACACAGGCUUUAGAAUCAGACCUGAAUGGACUUUUGCCUACUUUGCUUAAUGGCUGGGUGACUUUGGGGAAAUUGAUAGUUAUCUCUGAGCCAGAUAUUUCAUGAGAAUGAAAGGGGUAAUAAUUGAACAAUCUUUAUAGGGUUGCUAGGUAGCCCAAAUGAGAAAACACUGAGUGUUCUUAGCACGGAACCUAGCAUAUAAUUAAUGUUAUCCUUUAUUUUUAAACAUAGCUAAUAUUAUCACGGUAGCCUAAGAAAGACCAAGCAGCCCUUUCUAUAGUUUACCUGGAUUCUUUAUUAAAAUUAUUUUCAUUUUGAUUGUUUUGGUGUUAGGGAUUGGAUCUGGGGCCUCCAGAGCUAAUGAAAAUGCCGUCUAUCAAUGAACUACAUCCCUGGCCUGAGUUGAGCCAGUACUUACUUACCCACACUGUCCAUCUGGUAUUUCCGUGGAAUUCCACCAUGCCUGAUCAGGAAGGGGCCGACAUGAAUAACUAGCAUGGCGUGAAUGUCAGCAACACCUGCCCAAUGAGCCUGUGACGGGGCCUCUCAGGGUCUCCUCUAGGACAUUCCAGGAUGUCCUAGUGCAAAGCCUGGCAGCUUCAAUCAAGGGCAAAGGGGGCCACGAGAGUCCUGGGAAAUGGCAGUGCCUGGUUCUUUCUCUGAAAUGAAGGUUGGCAGCUGAAAACCCUCCUCCUCACUUAAGCUCUGAAAAUAAACCAAUUCCACAUCUCUGCUGUGUUUUAAAGCAAAGCCAGCACCUGAGUGCCACCAGCCUGUGACGUUUAAUUUAUAUCUCACUCAGGGGCACAGGAUUUAAGGACGGGGAGCUUUGGGGGAAUGUCAGGGGAAUCCACGCACAGAAUCUGAGAUCCAGACUUGUAGCUGAAUCCGCUCAAGCUGUGCUCUUGGUAGUUGUCGCAAACGGAGCUGGGUUUGUUCCCUGGGUGAGGAUAUUCCUGCUACUCAGGUAGGUCUGUGGGAAGUGCCAUCUAGGGCCUAGUCAAAGAUGAGGUCACUCAGAUGACAGACUGUAUCUGGAAAUAGGGAUCAGGGACCACAACCAAAUAAGAAAAGCACAGUGGAGACAGACAUGUUUCAAAACCAGAGGCCCCAAGGGGAGUGUUUGCAGGACUCAUCAGUUCUGAGACCCAGUGGCUCAGCCCUGGAAACAGAGGCUUCUCUGUGUUUCUCAAGGCUGCCCCAGGCUUGUGUGUAGGCUGGAACCACCACACAUAGUAGGCAGUGCACAGGAAGGAAGCUCUGGCCUGGCUUCUCAUUAAGCCUACCACCUCUUCUGUAUCACUUGCUUGAAUUCUUGUAGGACCAUGAAAGUCAGCCUGGUUCCUGGUUGAGCUAAGGUUGGAAACCCCAGCGACCCUGAGGAACGGCAGGUGUUUUGCCUGGUUCCCAGAUACUAGGCUCCUGGCACGAGGCUGCAGCACUCCAUAGAUUUGUGGCCAUCAGUCACAUAAGGGAAACGCCCCAAGUCCCUUCACAGGUAGAGGAUGUGUGACCUGUGGACACGUAGCCUUAAGACAGAUCUCCAUUUUAAUGAGGUACCUAAAGGUCUGGAGACUUAGCCAAUUAGGCUUUCCUUUCCAGACACUCCUCUCUGCAAAAGGUAUUUAACCUCAGACCCACCCUGAGAACUGGGGUACGGUUUUACCUAUCCAUUUUCUGCCACGACAAUAAAUGCCUUAAAACCAUGGACUGCCUCUUUUCAUUGGGAUCUUCCAUGGGUUGCCAUAGAGUCCUGUCUAAUCUCCUGUGCAAGGCCUCUCUGUGCUCCCAGCCACAACCACCAUGCCAAGCCAGGCACCCACCAACAAGCCAAGGACAAUUCCCACAGAACCCAGCCGGAGCUCUCCCCUUUUCCUCAAUAUAAGUCAUCACCCAUCUGCUCAGAACAGCCCCGGUUCCUGUGGUCCCACAGCAUGGGUUCCAAGGCCAGGAGCUUGGUUCCCAGUGAGCCAAUGUUCUGAAGUGUAGCGUGGUGGUGAUUUGGUCACGGGGCUGCUGCACUCUGAAGUGAUUAAGCCAUGCUUGAAGGGCUGGGUUAGGUCUUUCAAGAGAGUAUUGUUAUAAAAGAACACAUUUGGCCUCUCUGGUCUCUUGGUUCCUCAUUACCACACAGGCCCUUCCUGCUCCUUCAUCUACUAUGUUGUAACAGAGUUGGAGGAUAUCUGCUAGAUGCCAGCACCAUGCUGUUUGGAAUUUCCAGUGACCAGAACCAUGAGACGAAUAAAGUAUAAAGCCCAGAAAUUCUGUUAUAGCAACAGCAAACAGAUCAAGACAAGAGCCGACAGGGUAAGCUUGAUGGGCCAUCUUGGUUAAGAUCCCAGCAGAGCCAUUUGGUCAAGAGUCUACAUGGCUGGGUCAUAGGGCCAGCUGUUCUAAUAAUACUUCACUGUGAGUUUCAACUUCCUUAUCUUUUAAAAGAAGGGCUUGAAGUAUGUGAUCUUUUCUUCUAGUAGACUUGGAGCAAUGCAUAGUUACAUAGUUAAUUAUUCCUAUACAUAGUUACUUAUUCCUAAAGCUGACAGAUCCUAGAAUUUCUAUCUACCAGUUAAGAUUAAGUUCAUUUUAAACUCCUUUCCUAUUGCCCAGGUAGGCUGAUGAGUAGCUGGGUGUGGGUGUGGGGGGGAGGGGAGGGAGAAUGGUCAGAGACCACUGCAGUGGGGGUUGCAGCCACUCACUACAGUUAAUAGAAGAAGACUAUACAAUGCUUCCUUGUAACUCUUCCUAUAUUUGCCUAUAGGAGUAUCAUGCAACAUUUUGGCCUAUGCCAUUAAGUUGCUGGCUUCACUGCCUCUAGUAGCCUAGAUAAAAACUGACAUUCCCACUACUAAUAAGUACAGUUGGCCCUAUGUACAUGGGCAUUCCACAUCCAGAGAUCCAAUCAAUCAUAGGACACUUCACAUCCAUAGAUCCAAUCACAGGACACCCCACAUCCAGAGAUCCAACCAAUCACAGGGCACUUCACAUCCACAGAUCCAUCCAAUCACAGGGUACUCCACAUCCAUAGAUCCAGCCAAUCACAGGAAAGUUCUAUCACAUACUCUGUUGUGACCUGAGGGAUCUGAGAAUUAGCAGGUGUAGGUUUCUGCAAAGGCAUCCUGAAGUCAGUCCCUAUGGGGGCUGACGGAUGGCAGUGCUCUGCCUCCCAGAUGUAGGCAACGUGUCUUUAGGAUCUGAGGCUGGGCUUUUGGACACUCAGCUUCACCAUCACAGAGAAUGCAAGCAACAUGGUUUUCAGAAAUGACACUGCUCCAUGCGAAUCAAAAUUCCAUAAAGCUCUCACCCCAGCCCCACCUUCUCUGAUGAAGCCCUUCUAGCAGGGCUGAGCCUGCUUUCCAGUGAACUGUGCUCAGAGGCAGGAAACACAGUGCCAGCCCUCGGUUGAGCAGGUGACUCCGAAGCAUGGAGACAGUCCUCGUGUACGGGAAACUCCAUGGGAAACUUAGCUUUGAUAUUCUCAUCAGAAUUUCUCUCUUUAAAGGGGUGUUCCCUCCUCAAUGAAAGAGAGGUAAGCUGGAGCCUCCCAGGAGUUAGGUCAUUAAUUAGACACUAGCACACAGAACACUGUGUACCUGGGUUGGCAUCUGGGAGCAAAAUGUAUUUGAGAUCUUGGAAUGACAAAGAGAUAAAAAUUUUAAAGAAAUACUUCAUUAAGAUUUUAAAACACUAAAAGGCAGGCUGUUCCUAAUGACAGGCCAAUCAAUACACCCACCAUCGUCCUCAUCCCUGUAGUGAGAAUGGCUACCACUACUCAGAACAAAAUGUAAAUUUGAGCCCCUUAUCCAAAUGGCAGGAGGAAGGCUCACAUUACACCCACGAGGACAUAAGUCUGCCUCUUGCAUUGUCUCUCAGUUGGCAUAACAUUUUUAUUUGUUACUUCAUGUUGUGCUCUAUGGCUGCCAUAAAGGCACUGUGACCUUCACAUGGGGAUGCACCAGGCUCCUAGGUUAGGCUGGGGAGAAGCUCAAUCCCACCCAGUCACCCACUGGACAAGCCAUCAUGCAGACAGCUUGUAGCAGGACAUUGCUGCCAUGCCUGGGCACAGGUGUGUGGGUGCCCUGCCAUCCCGUCACACCUUUAUGAGAGUGAUGACAGGAGGGACGGGGAAGGCUGGGUGGGGUCAGGAGCCUGGGCAGGGGAGCUGCUGGCUGAGAGGGACGUCAUGUGACAAGAGGUGACUUGCCUUGAAAUAUGCUCCACCACUGCACUGGAUCUGACAAAUCAAAGACAGAGCUACUAAGAACUUCAACAUGUCAACCACGGAGCACUAGUAAGGUCUGUCUCUGUGUGUGUGUGUAUGUGUGGGUAGUUGGAUAGAUAGAUGUCUGAUGAAGAGUCCUGUAAGAAUGCACAGGUAUCUAGCUGUUCUUGGUGAAGCCAGAGGUUUCUUCUGUGUUUGUCUUUCUUUAAAAGCCAUGCCCCUGAGAUCCCAACCUUCCAAACAGCCCAGGUCCCAUCUAACACCUUCCAGCUACCCAUCUGCCCGAACGCCUCUGGCUGCUCACUAAGGCAGAGAGGGAGAGACUCUCCCUACUUGGAAACAGUUUCAGAAGCUCAAAAGAAGCUCUGUGGAGACAGGGCUUGAAAUAAGCUGGCUCCCAUGUAAUUAAAAUAAUUAUGAAUGAAAAUUACUACUUUAGUAAUUGCUUUAUAUUAUAUUUACUACAGUUUCCAUUGUGUGACUUAUCUCAUUAAUUACUGCUGGAAAAAGUUAGCCAAUGAAUAAUUAAUACUAUGUGAUAUCCAAGGGAGUAAUCGUGUUUAAGAAACAGAGUUUGAGAGUGAGCAUCAUCCACAGCCCUACUAAUGAGGACCCCUCAGAGUCAAACCACGACUUGUGAGUAAGAGCCUCUGCUUAUAACCUGCCGUGACUAGAGGUCAACAGAAACUCUCUUUAUCCUGAACACAACUGGAAACAGGUCUGAAAUUCUCAGGGGCGUCUGCUUUAUCAGAAGCAGCCCUCUGCAUGGCUAACUUGGGAAACAUACAAAUCAGAGUAGCUCUCAAAAUGAACAUGGAUCAGCAGUAGCCUACGUUCCAAACAAAUCGAGAGUCUAGUGUUUCCUAUCAGAGCAGGUGUUGGCGGAGGAGAGAGGCCAGGAGGCCAGGAGCCUCAACCUGCAGCCUCCAGCAGGUUCCAUAUGUACUUCAUACAUAUAUAUGCACCACACACACACACACACACACACACACACACACACACACACACACACAGAGAGAGAGAGAGAGAGAGAGAGAGAGAGAGAGAGAGAGAGAGAGAAUCAAUAGGAUAAGCCAGAACUACAAUGUUUAUUCUAUUAGUUCUUCAGUUGUGGUUUUGACUGGGGCUGGCAAUGGAUCCCAGAGCCUCAGACUCACCAAAUGUAUGCUCUCAUGUGGAGCCACCCCUCCCCCUUUUCUUCAAAGAGGGGAAUCAGCUAUAAAAGAAAUAAUGGAAGAACGGGCCAUUCUCAUCGCUUCAAGAUCCCAAACUUUUUUCUUUCUUUCUUUCUUUUUUUUUUAAGCCAAGCAUUUACUAUUUCACUUUAUGUUUAGAAAUUGUGUGUAUGCGUGUGGGUGUGCACGUAUUAGUGCCCACAGAGGCUAUUGGAUCCAUUGAGGCUGAGUCAUAGGUACUUGUGAGCACCUAGUAUAGGUGCUGGGAGCUGAGCUCAGUCCUCUGGAUGGGCUGUAUGCACUCUCACCUGCAGAGCCAUCUCCCCAGCCCCUUGAUUUUUCCUAUGUGAUUUGAUGGCAUUGGAAUUCAAACUUGGGUUGCGUGGGAUUGCCAGAUGAAAUGCAGGACACCUACUGAGACUUACUAGGUACAGUCUGCAUAGUAGGCAACUUUAAAGAAGCCAUUUAUACCAUGAGAUUAUCCAUUGUUCAUGGAUACUCUGUCUACUUUAGGUCUAUGGCAUUUCUUGCCCAUCCCAGGUCAAAGCAUAUGUGCACACUCAUCAAACAGAGAGCAGGGGAUGGAGAUGACUGAGAGAGGAAGAUGAAUCACACCCAGAAACUGCAUCAUUACUAACUGCCACCGUCUGUGGGUCGUAUGGCAGGGUUUGAGGUGGGAUGACAGGCCAGAGGAUUAAUUACAGUUAAUCACAGACAGGGAAAGUCCAGGGACCUGGGAGACUCGUCCUUCAAGUUGCUGGAGCUGUAUUUUAAAAGCAAUUUAACACCAUCCUUUGUGGGGGAUGGAAGAAUAGUCAGAAGAUGGAAGCAUCACAGUGGUAAAAUAUUGUGAGUCCACUCCGAAGCCAUAAGAUUCGGGGUUAAUGGGCUUCUCUCAGAACUUCCGCAUUUGCAGGGAGCCUUACGUGACCAUUUUCCUACUGACAUAAAAGCUGUUUGUGGCUUGAUGACUGAAAUACCCUCUGGCUAUUUCUGACUUCUGAAGGGGUCACAGGAAGAGGCCAGAGUGUCUAUAAAGAAGAGUCCAGACAGCUGUGGCUCUGCCCAGGUGUGCAGAAUGCUGUUACUUAGGGGUUCUGCAGGCAUGAUGGCUGGCACAGCCCCACCUACCUUAAGCUACAAUCUGCAGUGCUUGUACAGUAAGACAAGGGGAGUUGCAAUCUUAUUGGCAAUGAUGCUGGAAUUUAAUAAGAUCUCACUGUAAUCUUUUACUGAAAAGAAAGCUAGUUCUGCAAACCCAGGCUCCAUUUCGCAGGCUCGCGCUUCUUGUGGGAUUUUAUUCGUAUACUACAAAAAGGUAAUAAUUCCUUUGGAAAGCAAGCCACCCCCUUUACAGCAUAUGUAUUUAUUUGUGUGCUGAGGAUUGAACCCAGGUCUUGCACCUGCUACGCAUUAGCACUUUAUCUCUGAGCUAUACCACAGGCCACGCUCUACUAUUGCAACAGAUGCAGCUUGCCUUUAAAAAUGUGGUGUGCAGGCAUGCCGUUAGUUUGUCUGUUCACUGAGAAUUGAAACAGUGUAUAGGGUGGUGUCUUGCUCUGUUCUGAAUGCUGUAAGAAAUAUCACCGUCUGAGUGGCUUAAAUAAGAUACUCCGUUCUUGCAGUUAUGAAGGCUGUGAAGUCCAAGGCCAAGGUGCCGACACACUCAUUUGUUGGUGAGAACUCUUUCUGGCAUGCCCACAGCCUCCUCAGCGUGCCUACACAACUUCUUCCCUGUGUAUGCUUUUUAAUAUCAUGGGAGCUUGUGCCCUUACUUGAAUCUAAUUACCUUCCAAAGCUCUCACCCCUAAUACUAUGAGACUGUGCGUUAGGACUUUAAUGGAAGACUCUGCAGGGUUGUGGGGGCACAUGAGACCUCACCACAGAUUCAGGGACUUGUAAGGCCAUCAAACCAGGUUUCACUGCUGACCCUUUUGGAGGCUACUUCAUGGCUGGGCACCCCAGAGAGACCCCCAGUAGAGGACCUUCUGGGCAUACUCAUCACCAGGUGAAGGGAAGAGCCUGCUGACACGUGAUAGGAAUCACCGAGAAGCUCACAAAGGCAACCUUGGCACAGGAGAGCUGAUAACCAAGUAAACCCUACUGUGGUGUCAGAAAACAGAAGGCCAUCUAUAGAAGCCACUAAGGACCUGUCACAGCCAUGCAGAGUUAAGGACAUGAUCUUCACUGUUCCCUUGAGAAGUGAACCACAGUACUAGAGGACAGUUUUUUUUUUUUUUUUUUUUUUUUUUUUUUUGUUGUUUGUUUUUAAACUUGAGAAGUCAUCAUACUUCAGCAGUCGUACCACUGGGAAUGUCACAGUCAAGGCACGAGGGCUCCGAUUUCUCUACAGCCUUGCCAACAGUUGGUGCACGUUUUGAAAAACCAAGCACUCCUCAUGCUGUGUCAUCUCACACUGGUUUACCCAGCAGAGGAGAUGCCGUCUUAAACUUACACGAGAGCAGAGGCAUGAGUCUGGGUGCACGGAGUUACAUGUGGCUACUACAUCUUUCAGAACCACAGAAGCCAAGGGUGCUGAGCUUCAUGAGACACACACACCACAGUCUCCGGAGGGAUCCAGGUCCAGUUCUUGUCUAUCAUUUGCCAGCUCCUGAUCUCCUUGACUGCUGCUACCUUUAAGUAAGGAAAACAUGCUGGACAGUCUCCAGGUAACCAAUAUGGCUUCAGUUGGAAGAUUAAAGUCUCCCUGGAGGUGGGGCUUAAAUGAGCUGGAGCUUCAUGUAAUUAAGAGAAUUCUGGAUGGAAAUAGCCAGUUUAGUGACUUCUUUUCCACGACGCUAUUUACUAUGACUGCUACUUUGAACCUUCUCUAAUUACUUAUAGUUAGGUUGCUCCUAGCUUGGAGGUAAAGAAUUAAGAGCAGAGGAGGAGCAGGUGCUCGACUCUGCCUUUUAUCGCCAGUUAAGACUAAGCUGUUUAGGUGGUGCUGCUAGGUAGCGGCCCUGUUACUAGGAAACAAGUUUUGGUCAGCUUUAGCUUUACAAAGCUCACCCCUACGCAGGCACGCACGCAGGCACGCACGCAGGCACGCACGCACGCACGCACAAUAAUCUCUCCCAAUGUCUGCAACACUGUUGCAAGGUGGACAGAGGGAGUUGCUACUCUUCCCUCUGACAAAGCUCUCUUCCCCCUCCAAUAAUCUCUCGCAAUGUCUGACACACUGUUGCAAGGUGGACAGAGGGAGUUGCGACCUUCCCCUCUGCCAGGGCGGGAAAAGCCACCGAGAAAUCAAGUCAGUCAUCAGUAUCCAGGCUACACAUCAGGCUGUGCCGGAUGUGCCCAGAUUUGACGUGUAUUUCCUGAAACUUGUCACCUGUGGAAAGCUGCUUGAUCUCACAGGGGUGAGUACCACCGAAGGACAAGUGUGGAUGGAUGGCCAAAAAAGGAGGGCUGACUAUGGGAAGGGUAUCUAAGCUGAAGCUUGGGAAGGUUUCCAAGUAGGUUGGAGGAAGUGGCAGGAUGGAGUCAGGGAAGGGAAAGCAUUCCAGGCUGAAGGAAUACGGUGUGUGUGUGUGUGUGUGUGUGUGUGUGUGUGUGUGUGUGGCUACGUAUGAAAGAAUGAAUAGUUCUGUGGCUAAAUCACAAAAUGGGCCUAUGACAGAGCCAAGGCUUGAAAGGGACCUAGGAAACAAUGUUGGCUGAGCUCUUAUUACUGACCUGAGAUAUCCAAGGAGCUAUGGGGUUUCCACCACUCUGAAGCUUCGCCUCAUUUUGCUAGGGCAAGAAAGUUGGCAUGGCUGGUCUCCAAAGCAAUGAUACAUGGGUGUGUGCACAUUUAGAAAACAUGAUGUAUAUUUGAAUACAAUUUCUUUCCUUUCAGAGUACCAGUGAAUAGAUCCUAGGUCUCCAGCCAGCUGGAAGAAGAAAAUUCUCCAAGGAAUAGAAAUCUUAGGAAACAGUACUGGCUUGCAUCUUCUUCCUCCCCUAUCUAAAUCUGUCUGAGUCCAACCAAUUCCCCUUUCAAAUGCUUCGUCAUCUUCUACUUUAAGCUUAGAGCAUGGGAAGAUAGCUGACAUUCCUGCACCUGCUUGCUUGGAUGUAACAAGGCUAGGAGAGGCACGUUGUACCACAUAAAUCUCCAGCUGACUAUAUCUUCUGGGGCAGAGAAUGGAGCAGCCCUCGUCCCCGUGUGAAGCACCCAGGCAUGUGUUGUGUGUGAUUCAAGGAGAGCUGAAAUAUGCAUUGUUUUAAGAGAUUAAGUAGGGUGGAGAGGAACCCGAACCCCGGGCAACCAGCCUGUGGUGAGGCAGACCUUCCCAGUCCAGGGCCACAUAUCCCCUGCAAACUGUGGACCCAGUAGGCACCACCCCUUUCUGUGUCCAUUAACUUUGGGUGGCAAGUGACUCAACAAUUUGAAGCUUCAGUUUCCCAUAUGCAAGAUUUGGACACUAAUGCAUGCCGCAGAAGGCUGUCUGUUGAUGACAUGGCAUGGUGACAGGAAGGUGCCCACGCAUAGGCCCUGAGACAUUCAGCCAGUAUGGCCCCCCAGGAGGUCAGAGGUAACCUACCAUCCAGAGAGGGAGAGUUAACAAUGUGCUUUGUGCCCAUCUUUUCUUGCACACAGGAACUCGUGUCCUUUCACAAUUACAUAAAAUAGCUAGGACAGUGACUCAAAGAAAACCUGGCGCUCCUUCGUAUGCUCUCUCCAGUGACUAACACCUCAAUUUGCAGUGCUCAUGGAGUGGUGUUAUUUGCCUUGGCUCCUCUUAGGUCUAGGAUCAGGCAAGCUGAACAGGGGAGACUUGUCUCCAUUGAAAGAUGAAGAGCUGUGACCUCAAGUGGCUCGCUGACUCCCUGGCUGUGAACAGGGGGAACAAAGCCAAGAAGAGGCAGUGUUGGGGAGCGGCAGGGUCUCCGACUCAGCCCAGGCAGGUCUUCAGAAAGCACUAUUUGAUUUGCUACACCAGGGCCAGCAAGCAGGCUGACCUGGCCUGUGAUAUUUAACAGGGGCCAUGGCCUUGGUUAAGCAAGCCUGUUUCAACGUUUUAGCUGAACUGACUACAGUGAGCACAGUCACACUGGAUUGAUUCCCUCUCUCACGAUGAGAGGGAUAAAGAGCAGAAUACUAUGCAAAAGAAGACAGAAUAAUUGUAGUGAGUCCAAGGGGCAAGGCCGAGAAAUGUACUUGGAAUUUGGUAGAUCAGAUGGUUGUUCUAAAACAUCUGGAAUAUACUCUGCGUGGUGUAUCCUGAAGGGACAUAUGCUGCCCAGAGACUGUAUGUUGCUUGCCAGGGUGAGGACAUGAUGUGGCUGCCAGACACUGGCCUAAGAACCAGCACAGGGCAGGGAGCUGGGCAAAGUGAGAAAGGUCAGGCUGUCCCAGCCAUCGGGAGCACAUUAACCUUCCCUGGCAGCAGGGCACUGUAGUGGCUCCAAAUCACAGUCAUCAAAGGCUAGCUAGCUAGUGCAAACAGCCAGCGCUCGGCCAAGGCUGUCUCAGCAAAGGAUGAAAAAGAGCAGGUCCUUGGGAGGGGAGGACUUGGACAGGGGCAGGCCCUGAGUUCAGAGUAGCAGCUGGCUGGACAGUCAGGUCUCAUGGCUGUGUGAUUUUCAAGUUCAGAGAGACACUUGGCCAAAGGACAGUUCUGGAGAAGGUCCUGUGUGCCAGGCCAGUAAAGCCAGAGAAGAAGACUCUGUGGGCUUGGAGAUGUAAAACAAAAUCAAGCCAAAGGCACUGGGCCAUGAUUUAAAUAAAUAAACUCCCGUUAUAAAGAGCUAGGUAGUUUGAGUUUUGAACAAGACACAAAUGCAAACCAAUGACCUCAGACUAUCAAAUGGCUAACAUACCGUUCCAGAUGUUUCUCUAACUGGCUUGCUGUGGCCCCAGCAGGUUCAGAAAACCACCUGUGCACUUAGGAUGUAACAUUUAAAAAGCUUUUCUUGUUAGAUAUAUAAUUGGUGAGUUGGGAAGAUAGCUGAGUUGGUCAAGUGCUUGCCAGGUAAGCCUCAAGGUGUGAAUUCAAAUCCCAGCACCCAUGCAAAAAAAGUCAGGAGUAGCUCUUAUCUCAGCACCGGGGAGGCAGGGGAAUCAACCCAGAGGCUGGGCAGUCAGCCAAGACAAACAGAAUCCCAGGCUGGUGAGAGAUUCUCAUCGCUAAACAAGAGGUAGACAGCUCAUGAGGUUGUCCCCUGGCCUCCACACACACGUGAACCCACACCCCCAUAUAAUAUGUUACUCUGUGGUCUCUUUUGGUUUUAUCUCAAUUUCCCAGAGCAAGGUCACUGAGACUGAUAGCACAGGCCGAAGUUCAAGGCAGGCAGCAACUGUAUGUUGCCAUACUCACUAGUGGUCAGUUUAAACAUUCUAAAAUAACUGGCCCAGUAACUACCAAUUAGUAACUCGUUCUCGGCGGGACAGUAAGUCUGUAAUCAAAGCAGUUUGUCAACAAGGUACAGGCAAAAGUCUCUUUCAGAAAUAUAUAAUUGUAAAAAGUCUCUAUUUUUCAUUAGAUAGCUGUGACACAGAAAACAUGCUAAUCACACAAUAGCUUCCCCCCGCCCCAGCUUUUGCACUGAAGUGCCACAUGUACUGUUUUGUGUCAAGUUAAAUAAGAAAUAAAUAGGCUACAAACAUUAGACAUACAGAACAUCCACUAGCCUUGGUUUAGAAGGGACAACCCCAAGGGUGUUAAAAGGCACAGGAUAUGCUGACCAAGUGACAAAGACUAAGCAAAAAAUAAUGUAUAGGACUGGGAUUUAAACUUAGCAAAUGUCUGAGGAUGUAUUUGAUAGGAAGAGGACGCAGUGUCGGAUGACAAUGUGUAGAAAUGAGUAGUGUGGUCUAACUGCCCUGGCACUGAGGCGUGAGGACCUGGCUCCCUCUGCUCCCUUUGCACAGUCCUCAGAGCACAGUGAUGCACCUGAACAAGGGUGACAAUUGGUUGUGUUACUUCACAGUCACAGUGGCUGGGGGAGUAGGAGAGGGGUUGGCUCUGCUCUAUCCCCAGUGCAGAAGGCUGGGGUCACUUCUAACUCUAUCUGAGAAUGAGGUACACAGUGCUUUGGUGGGAACCUUGGAACCUCAAACCCAGGAGAGGACACCGAUCGCCUGCCCUAUGGAGGAGAAAAGGCCACGUUGGUCAAAACUCUUGGAGCACCAACGCUUUCCCCAAAUUCCCAACUCGACAAUGCUUUCUGACUCAGUUCCUUUUCAGAGUCUGUGGUGUAUAUGUGUGUGUGUGUGUGUGUGUGUGUGUGGUGUGUACCCAAUACAGUAAAACCAAUUGUUUCUCAUAUACCUUACACACAUAUUCUGAAGGUAACUUGAGAUGAUGUUUUAGCCACGCACAGACCAGGUUUCCUAAUAAACAAUCUUCCACUUGUGGUGUUAAACCGGUGCUCCAGAAGUUCUGGUGUUAAACUGGUGCUCCAGAAGUUCUGGCUCUUGGAGCAUUUUGCAACUGAGAAUUUUUGGAUUAGGGAUCUCAGGCUGUAUCUACAGAACUGUUCAUUUUCUUUGUUAAGCUAUAGAUUUUUUAAAUUACUAUUAUGUAAGGUCCAUAAUACCUAUUUUAACCAUUCUCCACACAUCUGCUCAGUGGUAUCAAGUGCAGUCAUGCUGCCGCAUGGACGUCAUCACCACAUUAUUCUCUUUAAAGAAGACAAAGUUACGUCACCCAUGAGCUGGGGCUCUCAGCAAUUGUGGACAUUAACUAAAAGCGUUAAAGCACUUUCACCCAGAGGACCCUCCUUGCUAACCCCUCCCUGGACAGACAUCUGGUGGCAAGUCUGUAUUAAUUCUCAAGCAUUCUCAAACCCACUAAACCACCGUAAAGGGCAAUUAGUGGCUUUAUACAAUCCGUUAUUUAUUUACUCAGAAGACUAACUUCUUCCUUGGCUCUCUUCUGUUGUGUGAAUACAUGCCUGGGACCUUUUAAACUGUGUAUUAUUUACCUGAUAGGACUCAAUGGUUUCUCUGGAGCCAUUUCAUUUUAUUGUGGAAAUUAGUACUGGGUUGGGGGGAAUGUUAAAGCAGAGUUCUAGACUCUCUAGCCUGUGCACUAGCCUCUUGUUAAUGUCGUGUUAAUGCAGCUGACUGGGCUAAUAGCCACCCGAGGGCCGUGAGGGACAAUUAUGUGGCUUCCAUCUAGAAGGGCGGGUGGAGGGUCUCCCUUUGUGAGUACUGAUGGAUGGAUAUCACAGGACCCUGUUAUAGACCAGAGAGACUUAGCAUUUAUGGCUCUGUACAUGGCCCCACACAGUGGUUUUCAAAUAAUGAGGAUUACCUUACUCUGGGAAGAGCUUCAGUAAAUGACCCAGAGGAGCCUUCCAGAUAGCUGAAGUGAGAGGGUGGUAGAGACACAAGCUGAGGCCAGGUCCCCCUCAGAGGUACAAGCAGACCUCAUCUAGGAUCCUGGCUUUGGUGUUUUAGGAGAGAAAAAGGCUAGAUCAGCGUUUAAGAUGUAAACAGUAAAUAAGUAAAUAAAUAAAGAUUAGUAGAAGAAGACAUCUUCCUUUGGGAGACAGAGCAGUUGAAGAAAGUGCUGCUCUGUGUCUCAGACCCCGUGGAGCUGCUUCUAGUCCCUCCCUCCCCACAGGGCAGAGCCACUCUCUGGAUACCCUGAAGCCUGACCCUGUUCAUACAGAUAGUCCUUGUGCUCCACUCCUGGUCACGGGCACUGAUGAAGUUUUCCUUCAUGUCACAGCUAAAAUGCCCAUCGGGUCCCCUUUUCUGACUGCUCCACAUACCCUACCAAGGUCACCGAUUCCCCCACGGCUUGAUGGGGGCUUUCCUUGCUGAAGUGGCUGAAAGCAUCAGCCCUGGGGUCGGAGAGUUUGUCCCAGGGGUCUGAGAUGUGGAGGGAAGUUGCUCGAGUCUAUUAAUAGAAAGCCAGGUGCACUCAGUAGGAUUUUUAGGGACAGCAGUUUUAGGACACGAAAGGAAGUGGGAUCCUAUUGACGGCAGCCCCUCUGUAUGGCCCUAAUGUUGAAUCUUUUCUUCCUUGCUGAGAUGGCUGUGGUCCUCAGGAUGCUGACACACAACUGUUCCAAGAGGAACACUGUGCAUGCUGACACACCGGACCAUCCUCUCUUUGCCGAAUGCCAGGCUCCUUGGGAGUGGGAGCCACAAAUGAUGGAUCUUGUGUCUCUCUUGUUUUAUCCAUGUAAUAGCUGAUCAUGUCGCUUGACUCUCAAGCAGGCUGGUACCUGCCUGAACUCCCAAUGGCAACCUCCCAGGGAUAAAAAGAUGUCUACAGCAGCAAGAUCGAGGAUGCGAAAGGUGGCCAAGCCUACGGUGGAGGUCUCUGACCAUUUCCAAGCCAGUAUCGACUGAGAGGAUGGCAGAGUGUACAGUUGGACCUGUGUUUGAUCACAGCUAGGCCACUUGCUUCCAUGUGGCCCCUGGUUGAGUCACAACAUGUACCCAUGGUUUGGUUUGUUCAUCGUUUUGUUUUGUUUUGUUUUAAGGUUCCACGUACCUCUCAGGACUGUUCUGAAGAUUUAAAAAAAAUGAUACAGUUUCUAAAGAGUAACACUACCCUUUGGAGACAAACUAGAGAACAGGGGCUAUAGGCUCGGCCAGUAGCGACCUGUUGCUUUAACACUGUGAGCGCUGUGAGUUUAAAACUUCCUUAAAAAUGUCCCAUCUCUUCUUUUUGAUGCUUAGAGAAAGGAUCCCUUGAGCCAGCCAGCUAGCUCAGCAGGUGACAGCACCUGCCAUUAGGACUGAUGACCAGAGUCAUUGUGCUCUAGGUCUCUAAGAGGUAAGGAGAGGACCCUUCUCAAAUUGAGGACCUUCCUCAAAUUGCCCUCUGACCUUCCCAGACACCCAGUGGCACAAGUGUUGCCCAUUAUAAGUGAAAAAAUGUAAAAUGUUUUUAGAAGGGAUCAGUUAGCAGUGCCUAGCAGCUGCAGACCUCCCUCACACCCACCGGACUGAGCAGAACAGAGCCUAAGGGUAGGUACACUUGUGAGUUGGUGGCCGUCGCCAGUGCACUACACGCCCUUGGUUCCUCUGAAGCUGGCCUGUUGGACUGGAGUGGGCAGCAAAAAGAAGCUGGAGCCCCUGCUGAGCCAGCCAGCACCUCACCUCACCCCCAAUACGUGUUUGAUCUUGUCUCUGGACACAGACCAUUUCACACUCGGCUCUGUAGAUAGAGGUGAAGCUCCCUUAAUUGUAGGCUAUUUGUCAUCGACUUCAUUUCCAUCUAUUCUUCCCCAUGGAAAAUAGGACUCCAUGCAUGAGAUUUAUCUGAGAAAGGGGAAAACAGAGAGCCAAGUUCAGAAGACCUCUCUCCAUACCCCUGCCUCCUGCUGGCGGAGGCCCUGAGAAGCAGCACUUCUCAUAGGGUGCACUUCAUCCCGCAUUGCACCCCAUCGAGCGCAUGGUGCUCGGCAAGUCUCCGUGGAAUAAAUGAAUAAAUCUGA